GGAGGAUUACCCAAGUGGCUGAAGGGGGCGGUCUUGAAAACCGCUAGGCCGUGAGAACGACGCGAGGGUUCGAAUCCCUCAUCCUCCU
rfam:Lactobacillus panis DSM 6035 NODE_408, whole genome shotgun sequence.